rnacentral:rRNA from 1 species
UACGGAGGGGGCUAGCGUUGUUCGGAAUUACUGGGCGUAAAGCGCACGUAGGCGGCUUUGUAAGUUAGAGGUGAAAGCCCAGGGCUCAACCCUGGAAUUGCCUUUAAGACUGUAUCGCUUGAACAUCGGAGAGGUAAGUGGAAUUCCGAGUGUAGAGGUGAAAUUCGUAGAUAUUCGGAAGAACACCAGUGGCGAAGGCGACUUACUGGACGAUUGUUGACGCUGAGGUGCGAAAGCGUGGGGAGCAAACAGG